AAAAGAAACUAACAAGGAUUCCCCCAGUAACGGCGAGUGAAGUGGGAAAAGCUCAAAUUUGUAAUCUGGCGCCUUCGGCGUCCGAGUUGUAAUCUCGAGAAGUGUUUUCCGCGCUGGACUGUACAUAAGUCUGUUGGAACACAGCGUCAUAGCGGUGAGAACCCGGUUCAUGGUACAGACGCCCAGUGCUUUGUGAUACACUUUCGAAGAGUCGAGUUGUUUGGGAAUGCAGCUCAAAUUGGGUGGUAAAUUCCAUCUAAAGCUAAAUAUUGGCGAGAGACCGAUAGCGAACAAGUACCGUGAGGGAAAGAUGAAAAGCACUUUGGAAAGAGAGUUAAAAGUACGUGAAAUUGUUGAGAGGGAAGCGCUUGAAGUCAGACUUGCUUUGCCGGGAUUCAGCCUUCGGGUGUAUUUUCCGGCUUGGCAGGCCAGCGUCAGUUUCUGGGGGCAGAAAAGGGUAGGAGGAACGUAGCAGCUCCGGCUGUGUUAUAGCCUCUUACUGGAUUUGUCUUUGGGGAUUGAGGAUCGCAGCACGCUUCUAGCGAGGUCUUCGGGCCUUU
rnacentral:rRNA from 1 species